rnacentral:siRNA from 1 species
CACUAAUGCACCGGAUCCCAUC